rnacentral:lncRNA from 1 species
AUCCAUUUUUUAUAUUUAUUUUUUUUUUAGAAAAAGUACUAUAAAUUUGUUUUUAUAUAAAAAUAACAUUAUUUGCAUCGUUUUGCCAUACAUUUUUUUUUUAUCCUUAUGAUGAACUAAUUAUUUAUAUAUAUGUAUAUAUAAAUAUAUCAUAAAAAUAACAUAAAAUGGAUAAGUUAACUAAAAUAUUUCAUCAAGUUAUAAAUGAAAUAAAAAAAAUUGAUAUAAAAUAUGGAAUAAAUUUAAAUGAUUUCCAUAAUUUACUUUUUGUUAUUAGUAUAUUAUUUGGGUUAUUAUUUUUAUUUUAUAUAGUUUUUAUCUUUUUUACUAUAUUUUUAAAAAAAAAAAAACAUAUAAUAUUGUAUUGUUGUUGGGACCAUGUGAUAGUGGUAAAACAACUUUUCUUUUUAAAUUAAAAAUAAACAAACUAUGUAGAACUGUACCUUCCAUGAAAGAAAACAUUGCUUUUAUUAAUAUUAAAGAUAAAAAAAAAAUAAAAGUAUUAAAUUUGUUGAUUUCCCUGGACACCCAAAGUUAUCAUAUGGAAUUGAAAAAUAUCUAAGUAUAACGAAUGUUAUUAUUUAUAUACUUGAUAGCUCCGAUAGACAAUCCCUCAAAAUAGUUGCUGAGUAAGCAUGUGUACAUGUAUAUAUAUAUAUAUGUAUGUAUGUAUUUUUGUGCAUACGUAUCUACAUGUGUAAUAACGAAAAAGCGGAAAUGAGAAAUACACUAGUACGUUUUUUGCGACAACACAUGUAACACAUUCAUCCUAACAUAUAUUAUUACUACUAUUUAUAUUAUUACCAUUUAUAUUAUUAUUGUAGAAAAUUGUUCGAAUUAUUUAUGAACAAGACAGUUGUUAAAAGACAAAUCCCCUUCAUCAUUUGUUGUAACAAAACGGAUUUAUGCAACUCACGUCCCAAGCAAGUUAUUAAAGAAGAUUUAGAAAGAGAAAUAGAAAUUUUAAAAAUGUCAAAAAAUAAAGGCCUUGAUAAUGAUGAGUACACUGAAGAAAACGAAUAUUUUCUUGGACAAAACUCAGAGUUUUUUAGAUUUGAAAAAGCACCUUGUCAUAUUGAAAUUUGUAGUGCUUCUGUAAAGGAUGACAACAUAGAAGAAAUCAUAGAUCUUGUUAAAAAAUUCUAUUAACUAAAUUACAUAUUUCUUUAAUAUGUUUCUGAAUUUAAUUAAAACCCUUGUUUCUAUUCUUUACCAUACUUUUCACAUAAAAAAAAAAAAAAAAAUUUGUUAAUUCAUUUCAAGAUUUUUCAAUACUUUUCAACAAUUUUUUAAUACACUUUGGUAUAUAUAUAUAUAUUUUUUUUUUUUUUUUUUUUUUUUUAAAAUAAUGAAAUAUUUUGAUUAUAUAAAUAUCUACUUUUUUUUAUUUUUUUUCUAUUCUUGUUACACUUAUUUUUAAUAAUUUUAAAAAUUAAACUUAUUUGUUAAAACUAAAAUAACUUUUUGAUAGCAUCGUUUUUAAAAGGGGUAGCAUUAAGCAUAUUUCGUUGUAGUCAUGUGUGGACAAAUAAGUUUAUCACAUAUAUAUUAAUGUGAAAAAGGUUUAUAAAAUAUCUUAAUGAUAUAUUUAAAUUUUUUAAAAGCAUUAAAAAAAGAAAAAAAUAAGAAUAAAAUAAAUAUCAAGAAAUAGAACA